CAUUGGUCUUCCUCCGACCGGCGGUAAAACCCUCGCUAAAGUGGGGCGUCCGUUUGGCUGUGCGGGAUGUACAAGUUCGCAGUCACGUCCGGUCAGAAUGGGGACGUUAAAUCCGAUGCCUCGUGUAAAGAGAGUGCCACGCUCUUUGCACGUUAAGAACCCUUGCAACAACUCUUUGAGGGGUCCGUAGGUGACCUGUUGCAAGGCAAAAUUUCUGUCCCUAUCCAAUAUACCCUCAUUUCCCGUGGCAGUCUAAAUUUCUCCGACCUUAAUCCCGGACGCCCCUUUAACAGA